rnacentral:rRNA from 1 species
UGGAUGCGGGGGCUUCACCGCCUACCAAAUCCUGACAAACUCCGAAUGCCAGUAGUAUGAUUUACAGCAGUGAGUGACUGGGUGCUAAUGUCCAGUCGCAAAAGAGGAACAACUCAGACCAGCAACUAAGGUCCCGAAGAAUAUGCUAAGUUGAUCUAACGAUGUUUUGUUGCAGAGACAGCUAGGAUGUUAGCUUGGAAGCAGCUAUUCAUUCAAAGAGUGCGUAACAGCUCACUAGUCGAGCGACAGAGCGUGGAUAAUAAACGGGCAUCAAGCAUAUCACCGAAGUUCUGGGCGCGAGAGCGCGGUAGGGGAGCAUUCCAUUCAGCGUCGAAGCAGUUUCGUGAGGAAUUGUGGAGCGUAUGGAAAAGCAAAUGUAGGCAUGAGUAACGAUAAUGCGGGAGAGUAACCCGCACACCGCAAGACCAAGGUUUCCUGAUCAACGCUAAUCGGAUCAGGGUUAGUCGGGUCCUAAGGGUAAGCCGAACGGCGAUCUCGAUGGAUAAUCGGUUAAUAUUCCGAUACUAACAUAUACCUCGAUGGAGAGACGAAGGAACGUAAGUGCCGCCACCUGACGGAAUAGGUGGUUAAAGGGCGUAGGUAUAGGGGCAGAUUAAGAGUUAGUCCUUGCUGAAACCUGACAGUACAGAGAGCCUACGGGCAAUUUGAUAGAGCACCCAAGUCGACUUCCGAGAAAAUCUUCUAAGUUAUAGUAUAUGUUACCCGUACCGUAAACCGACACAGGUGGUCGAGGAGAGUAUCCUAAGGUGCUCGAGUGAAUCACGGUUAAGGAACUAGGCAAAUUAACCCCGUAACUUCGGGAAAAGGGGUCCCUAUGAAAGUAGGGCGCAGCGAAGAGGUCCAGGCGACUGUUUAUCAAAAACACAGGGCUCUGCAAAUUCGAAAGAAGACGUAUAGGGCCUGACACCUGCCCGGUGCUGGAAGGUUAAGAGGGGAUGUCAUCGCAAGAGAAGCAUUGAAUCGAAGCCCCAGUAAACGGCGGCCGUAACUAUAACGGUCCUAAGGUAGCGAAAUUCCUUGUCGGGUAAGUUCCGACCUGCACGAAUGGUGUAACGAUCUGGACACUGUCUCAACCGUGAGCUCGGUGAAAUUGUAGUCCCGGUGAUGAUGCCGGGUACCCGCAACGGGACGAAAAGACCCCGUGAACCUUUACUAUAGCUUAACGCUGAAUUUGGGUACACAAUGUGUAGGAUAGGCAGGAGACUAUGAAGCGGGUACGCCAGUAUUCGUGGAGUCAACGUUGAAAUACUGCCCUUUGUGUAUUUGAGUUCUAACCCUCAAGAGGGGACACCGUUUGGUGGGUAGUUUGACUGGGGUGGUCGCCUCCAAAAGAGUAACGGAGGCUUCCCAAGGUACCCUCAGCACGAAUGGUAACCGUGCGUAGAGUGCAAUAGCAUAAGGGUGCUUGACUGUGAGACCAACAAGUCGAUCAGGUGCGAAAGCAGGGUAUAGUGAUCCGGUGGUUCUGCGUGGACUGGCCAUCGCUCAAAGGAUAAAAGGUACUCCGGGGAUAACAGGCUGAUC